rnacentral:rRNA from 1 species
CCUACGGGCGGCAGCAGUGGGGAAUAUUGGGCAAUGGACGCAAGUCUGACCCAGCAACGCCGCGUGAAGGAAGAAGGCUUUCGGGUUGUAAACUUCUUUUAAGGGGGAAGAGCAGAAGACGGUACCCCUUGAAUAAGCCACGGCUAACUACGUGCCAGCAGCCGCGGUAAUACGUAGGUGGCAAGCGUUGUCCGGAUUUACUGGGUGUAAAGGGCGUGCAGCCGGAGAGACAAGUCAGAUGGGAAAUCGACGGGCUCAACCCGUGAACUGCAUUUGAAACUGUUUCCCUUGAGUGUCGGAGAGGUAAUCGGAAUGCCUAGUGUAGCGGUGAAAUGCGUAGAUAUUAGGAAGAACACCAGUGGCGAAGGCAGAUUACUGGACGAUAACUGACGGUGAGGCGCGAAAGCGUGGGGAGCAAACAGGAUUAGAUACCCGAGUAGUC